rnacentral:rRNA from 1 species
UACGAGGGGGGCGAGCGUUGUUCGGAAUUAUUGGGCGUAAAGGGCGCGUAGGCGGUGCGGUAAGUCACCUGUGAAACCUCUAGGCUUAACCUAGAGCCUGCAGGCGAAACUGCCGUGCUGGAGUGUGGGAGAGGUGCGUGGAAUUCCCGGUGUAGCGGUGAAAUGCGUAGAUAUCGGGAGGAAGGCCGGUGGCGAAGGCGGCGCUCUGGAACGUUUCUGACGCUGAGGCUCGAAAGCGUGGGGAGCAAACAGG